CUCGCCGGUCGCCGCUACUUGCGCCGCCGUCGCCGGCGCAUCCGGUCCCCAUCCCGACAUCGAACGCUUCCACUGGUCAAACCCCGCCCACCCGGUGCCUCCUCAUUCGCGCUCGGCCGCCGGUUACAAAGCCUCGCGUCUUCCUUCCUGCGCGCGCCGCCGCCCCCCAAAUGCCGCACGAAGCCCGCCCCUUCUCGCUGCUGCGCUCCACUCCGGUGAGGACCACCAACGGCGGCUCGUGCUUCCUUCCAAGUCCGCCUGCCACUCGGUGCUGACAAAGCAGUACCUGCAAUGACUUCGACAUGUGAACCUGCAAACACCAAAGAAGAGAGUAAGAUCCCAGUGAUGGUUUGGUUUUGGAAAGGAAUUUAAUUUCUUGAAAGAAGUAUGAACUGACACUAAUACUCUAUUACGCAAGUGGCUGCAAUACAUGAGCCAAUGGGAUAUGAUAUGUGCCUUUCAGUUUUCAAUAUUGUGACACUUCUCCAGGCCAUAUUUCACCUUGCCGCCUCAGGUCACAAACCUAGCCAAGCUGCAUAGUACUGUUGCAGCCUUGCAGGUACCUUGUCCUUGGUACCCAGUUAAGUUUCUUUCUGAAGGCUUAUACCACGCAAUGGUUUCUCUUCCUGCUUUCAAUUACUUUAUUUACUGUAGCAGUGUCAUAAAAAAAAUAACAUCUUCCCUGUUUUCAGUUAUCUUAUACUUGAACCCGAUACCGAAUCACCAUGAACUGGUUUCCUCUCAGAUUGUUUCAUUUUCAGGAUCACUCAGAUAUAUUUUCUUUCUUCAGGGCUUCAUUUAUUGGUGAGGGAAGGAACAAGAAACAAACGCACCCCCCUGUUUUUGAAAUGACAUGGUCUCGAAUGUGUAGCCUAUACCACGAUUUUCUAGUAUAAUAUCUUUAUAAAAUCCAAUAAAUUUACAAGACUACAGAAGAUAAAUUUAAAGAUAAACCUACACAUGAUUUUCAUGUUUGACUGGACCUUAUUGACCGAUGUAUCUGUAUUGAAGUGUUAGACGACCUACAGAGUUUCAAUUUUUUUGUCACUGUGCUUUGAUUAGAUAGCUAACACAUUUCUGUUUUAUGUAACCUAAUAUUAUGAGAUUUUGAAGUCAAGGGGCAUUCAGCGUGCUUGUUGAAGCUAGCUGCCGGGAUGGUCUAAGAACGUUUGAUUCCUUUGUGAGCUGAAUGCACAGCGGUGGCCGGAUUCUUCACAAUCUGUGCAGUUCAAGGACUGGGACUCAUAUUUACGUUUGGUAUGUGCACUUCACGUGUUGAGACGAGCUUGCAGUCCGAAGGAAGAAGGGCCAUGGGUAGAUCAGCAUGCACCAAAUACGUGAAACGACCUGGGUUGCUGCUAAGACAAGGG